rnacentral:rRNA from 1 species
GUUAAGCACGGGGUAAAUAGACCCAGUGUUCUGCAUGAUCAGUCCCUCCAAACAAAGAGUGAACAGGGGCAGACAAGACCAACCUGGUACGGUGGAACUCUUUGUCGUGAUGCACACUGGGCGGGCACACAUGCGGGGGGGCCACUUGCGAUGGGCCGCAGAGGGAACAAAGACAGUGCCGUGGCGAAGCUUGGGUCGAGCGAUCUUCCUGAAGCCGUAGUAACGUGCGCAAAAGGUGUCGGGGGUCUCACUGAGAUCCCUUAAGGUACGCACUACUCCCCCCCGUGAGGGGGCCUCCUACAUAAGCUCUCAACCAGCAAGGGUAUGGAGGGGCCAGAUCCCAGGAGGAAAUGCCUGGGGGGAGGCCGGUAUCAAGGUAAUUUGACUCAACACGGGAAAACUCACCGGGUCCAGAUACAGGUAUGAAGGACAGACGGAAAGAUCUUUCCCAAUCAUGUAAGUGGUGGUGCAUGGCCGUUCUUAGUUCGUGGAGUGAUUUGUUUGGUCUAUUCCGAUAACGAGCGAGACCUCAACGUUCUAACUAGGGGCACUCGGCCAGGCUUGGCGCUGUGCGCCGUUUCCGUCUUCUGUCCUGGGCAACUGGGGCGGGGGGUCAAACGGGGGCGGUAUGGGGGCGCCUUGCUACCCGGUGCCUACGAGCGCGAGCUUCUUUUUAGACGGAUCGGGGCCGAUAAGGUCCCUGAAAUGAGGCAAUAACAGGUCAGUGAUGCCCUUAGAUGUUCCGGGCCGCACGCGCGUUACAAUGGCAAGCAAAGCGAGCCUUCAACUAGUCAGUGCUCUUAUCGGGUGCUUGCUAUUGGGUAACCCACUGCCUAACGGCCUGUGGUAAUCUCUAAAGCUUGCCUCGACUGGGCUAGACUUUUGGAAUUAUUGGUCUUAAACGAGGAAUUUUUAGUAGUCGCGGGUCAUUAGCCCGCGGCGAAUUAUACUGCCUUCCCGAC